NCGGAAGUAGUUCAGUGGUAGAAUACAACCUUGCCAAGGUUGGGGUCGCGGGUUCGAAUCCCGUCUUCCGCUCCA
rnacentral:tRNA from 1 species